GCUAUGUUAAGGAAGGUGAAGCAGGAUGCAUUGGGAUUGAGGCGAUGUGGUAUUUUGACAGCAAGAAGAAUGUGUGUAUGGAGUAUAGCAAACGUAUGUGCGGAUCGACGGCAAACAGCUUUUAUACGUGUGAGGAAUGCCUUCAAAAAUGCCACACCAGUGCAUGCGCAAAAAAAAUUCCAACCCUAUGGGAGCAGCUUUUUGGGCGCGGAUAAAUAUACUCCCAAAUUUUGUGAUGCACUCCGCACUUUGCUGGUUAUAUUCACAAUGAGCACAGAACCAUCCUGGACCAUGCCCGUCCUACCACCUUCAAAGAGCCAAAUGGAAUUCAAGACCUCCUCCUUCACUCCUCCUCUGCCCACCUCCCCCAUUACACUGUGAAAGCUUAAAUGUUGCGCCUCGACAUCUCCAUCGUCAUGCCCGCGCUGAAGAAGAAGCCGAGUUGGUUCUGAGACGUUGGCGAAAUAAACUUACUUUUUGGUUGGA